GAUACAUUUUCUUCUAAAAAAGAAGGAGCAAAUAUUCUGGUAUCUCUUUCUAAAGGAUUGAUGUCUGUAAAGAAUUAACUUUAGGAUCAAUUAUUAUUAUUAUUAUUAUUAUUAUUAUUAUUAUUAUUAUUAUUUGAGAUGGAGUUUUGCUCUUUUUGCCCAGAAUGGAGUGCGGUGGUGCAAUCUCGACUCACCACAACCUCGGCGUCCCAGGUUCAAGCGAUUCUCCUGUCUCAGCCUCCUGAGUAGCCGGAAUUACAGGCAUGCGCCACCACACCCAGCUAAUUUUGUAUUUUUAGUACAGACGGGGUUUCUCCAUGUUAGUCUGGCUGGUCUCGAACUCCCGACCUCAGGUGAUCUGCCCGCUUCGACCUCCCAAAGUGCUGGGAUUACAUGCGUGAGCCACGGCGCCCGGCCAGGAUCACUUAUUUUCUUAGAUAACAUCUUAUCUUCAGUCUCCAAUAUCCUCUCCUCCAUUCCCCACUUCAGCUGAUGACCUUGGUUUUUAUUUCACUGGGAAAGUAGAAGCAAUCAGAAAAGACUAGCUCAUCUUCCCACCAGCAAAUCUGGGUGGACACUGUUCAGCGUGGGACUUUUUCCUGAUAUAUUAACGCUUCCACAAAGGCUCAGACUCUCCCAGGCACGCUUGAAUGGCUCACCUACUAACCACACCCUGCUGGU
rnacentral:lncRNA from 10 species